GUGCUCGCUUCAGCAGCACAAAUAAUAAAAUCGGAAUGAUACAGAGAAGAUUAGCAUGGCCCCUGCACAAGGAUUACAGAAAGAAAAAAAAGCAAAACUUCUCU